AUUGAACGCUGGCGGCAGGCCUAACACAUGCAAGUCGAGCGAGUGGCGGACGGGUGAGUAAUGUCUGGGAAACUGGCUGAUGGAGGGGGAUAACUACUGGAAACGGUAUCUAAUACCGCAUACCAUCGGAUGUGCCCAUAUGGGAUUAGCUAGUAGGUGGGGUAACGGCUCACCUAGGCGACGAUCCCUAGCUGGUCUGAGAGGAUGACCAGCAACACUGGAACUGGGACACGGUCCAGACUCCUAAGGGAGGCAGCAGUGGGGAAGAUUGCGCAAUGGGCGCAAGCCUGAUGCAGCCAUGCCGCGUGUGUGAAGAAGGCCUUCGGGUUGUAAAGCACUUUCAGCGGGGAGGCGUUACCCGCAGAAGAAGCACCGGCUAACUCCGUGCCAGCAGCCGCGGUAAUUC
rnacentral:rRNA from 1 species